GAGCCGGAAAAUUGCACAAUUUACCUAAAACCACGUCAAUCCGGAUCACGACUCAUAAAAGUGGUAUUCUCGUGUAGCUCAGUGCAACAGGAUGCAAAUCCGGCACCAAAUGAAUACCAACUACCCACCACCACCCAGCCACGAUCACCAUGGCCAUUAACUCUUCCAAGAGAAGUAAAACUUAUUUUAAGUUCGUGUAUCACGUAUCCAUAUGCGAGUGAGAAAAAUCGCCAUAUUUUACGCGCAAAAAGCACCUGCGUCUCUUUUUCUCGCACGCUGUCUAACGCCUAUGCAAAACGCCUAUGGUGAGAGAGCGUGUGGAGAAGAGAGAGCUGGCGUUCUCAUCAAAUCAUGGAUACGUAAUAAUCAAUUGUGAACGCCAAAAAAUCUAUUACGGGAACACAAAAUUUGAAGAAUGCGUAUUGCACAACAUAUUUGACGCGCAAAAUAUCUCGUAGCGAAAAUUACAGUAACUCUUUAAAUGAUUACUGUAGCGCAAUUUAGAAAAUUUUGAAAAUCGAAAAAUUCAACAGUUUUCUGAAUUAAAAUUUAGUUAAUCAAAUUUAAAAUUAUUCAAUUAUCAAUAUUCUAUCGAUAAAAAAAUUAUUUUAAUCCAUUCGAUCCCGUAAAUCGACGCUACCGUAGUUUUCGCUACGAGAUAUUUUGCGCGUCAAAUAUGGCGUGCAAUAAUGGCAAUAAAUACCUGAUUUUAUAUGUUCUCAAUUUUGGUACUUGUGUAUUAUUUCCCCUCAUUUUAAUAUUAUCCAUUUUAAUGAAGAUAAUAGAAAUGU
ensembl:lincRNA linc-74 ncRNA